GCAAGGGCAGGGACCAAACCCGCAACCUCAUGGUUCCUAGUCGGAUUCGUUAACCACUGCGCCACGACGGGAACUCCCACAUCAAGCUGAUUUUAAAGAAGAAAAUCUUAAAAGAAUCUGUUGCUUGACACAACACAUAUAUUGAAAGGGAUAUUCAUUGCUGAGAAGCAACAAAUGGAAAACUGACACAGUAGGCAUUAAAUAGAUGGAAAGCCUUAGUUGGUGUUAGCCCUCCACCACACUGCUGUUAGCCCAGUGGACUCAGUCAUGAGAUAGCAGUGGUGGCAAGGGUGAGGUUCACAUGACUCCCGUUCACCCAGGUGCCACUGUUGAAUAUUUUCCCUGCUAACAAAAGAUCAGUGUUGUACCUCAGUAUGUCCCAUCCCUCAAGGAAACCAGAGAGUUAACUGGUAGGAAAUUGAGUACACCAAAUCCCUUACAUCUUGGAAGUCAGUGAUUAGCUUUGAUAGUGAUUUGUCUGGAGUUGAUGUGUAUUCCGCACACGUUCUUACUUAACUUGGAUAUGGAAAGACUUAGGCAGCAUCCUUCUAAAAAGGUUUAUCGUUGUUUGUAUGAGAUUAACAUGCCUCUAAAGCAAAGGAGUAGUAGCAACGAGCUUGAGAUGACUUGAGAUCCCCUGGUACCAUCACCUACCCUACCACCCAGAAACUUCUGGUCCGAUAGAGUGAUGGAAUGGAUUGUAAAGGUGCAACUUAAGGGCUGCCUUGGAGAUGGUACUCUGAAGGGAUAGGGCCCCAUCCUUCAGGACACAGCAACCAUGAAUAAGUGCUCUGUCCUGGGUAGUUAGAAUACAAGGAACCAAAACCAGGAACUGGAAAUAGGAGUGGCCUCACCUACCAUCACUCUCAAUGAUGCAUUUGGGGAUUUUAUAGUUACUGAACCCCCAACUCUAAGUUUACAGAGAGCUUGGUUGCCAAGGAAGAAAUGCUUUCAUCAGGGAACACAGACUCCUAUGAAAUUUUCUUGCAUAGUUUCCACCCAGUCACUUUGGAUUCCUCAUUCCAAGAGAUCAGCAAGCAAGAAAAAGAGUCACUGUAUUGGCAAGAGUAAUUGACAGGGGUAAUUCUCAUCCUUAGAAGAUAGGACGUCAAAAAGAAAAUAUUUAGCACCCACAUGAUCCAGGUGUGCAUCCUUUGUCAUUUUUUCCUUAUCCAGUUUUGAUGGUGAGUGGAUAAGGGCUGCUGCCUUGCCUAGAGAAAGGCUUGGUAGACAGAUGCUCAGAAUAAAUACUUGUUACCCCACACAAAAAAUACCUGAACCAAUAGAUAUGCUACACAAGGGUGAAUCUGGAAUGGUUGGCAGAGAGGCAGUGCAUGGGAGUUAUAUCUCCAAGAACUGUUAUAGUCAUGAGGGCUGUAAUAGAGCCACUAACUUUGUCCUUGCAAAUUUACACAAGAAAGGAGAUAAACCAGAAUUCUGGAGGCUUUGUUUCCAGGUGGGUGAACUUAUGUAAAGCAGGUACAUCCAAGUGCACAAAGUGUGGGCUACUGGGGAGACUGGGGAAUCAGCCUAAGGUGAUUCCAGAUGCCUCAUGCACUCCCCCAGCUAUUAGGAAUGUGGACUGCUGACAAUUUACAGCUGAGGCCCCGCCUGGCAUGGCCAGUGGCGGGAGAGCUGCUUUGCCCAAGUUUACGGCUCCUUCCCAGACGCAACUACAUUUAGUGACAGGUUAACCUGGAGUGUAGAAGACUGCGGAAAAUUCAGUGAUGGCCUUCAGAGACCCCAGCCAGCUCAGCUCUCCAGUUUUCCAGCUUGCAUUUCUUCAAAAUACAGCCAAUUCCUUGAAGGCCCACCAGCAAUGAGUGCGCGUUUCAGGUGCUCCACGUCCUCUCCAGCGUUUGGUGGUGUCAGUGUUCUGGAGUUUCACUCUUCUAAUAGGGCCAUGAUCUUUUGGGAGUUUUGAUGACUAGAGAAGAUAGUGAAUAAUCUGAAAAACACCUCAUAUCAUACAUAUUUGUCAACUGAACACCUGAAAUUUUAGCAAGGUGAGGAAAAGAAGUAACCAAAUACUUAAAGAAUUUGCACAAUGUUCUGCAUAAAUUUAUGGGAAGAACCAGGGAUUGGAACAUAGUGCGGAGUUUUCAUAGCUUUGGGCCCACCCAUUCGAAUUUACCCAUGACCAAGAAAAGCUAAGCAGGCGGUGUAUGAUAAUCCAGUCUUCAGGAAGUCAGCAUUAAGCCGACCAUAUUUCUAAGCUUGGCUGUGCUCGUGCUCCCCUUCUCAAGGUAUCUAGAAUUCUUCAUCCUACGUGACUGAAAAAUUUGCACACUUGACCAACAUCCCUCCACUUCCCCCACCUCCUUAUUCCUUUGGCAGGUAGAAGAUUCUUAAGCCAAUUGAAGAACCACUAUUUGAAGAUUAGGACAACUAUAGAAUACGAAUAUAUAAAAUUUGGAUAACUUAAAAAAAAUACUGAAAGCGUUAUGGGGUAAGCUUCAAAGUGACUUGCUUAUUGAAAUUCAGAAGUUGCUCUUACCCUGAGGAAGUUUUUUUUUUCAAGAAAUUUGUAGAAUUAGAAAUCUAAGAGCAGUUAGCAAGACCACAAUAAGAAGAAAUAAAUCCUGGGAUAUAUUUUGGAAUAGGAAAAGUUCCUCUUGAUGGAAAAACUGCCUAGGAGAGGUAAGAUAUUUUUGAACUAUGAGUCAAAGUUCAUGGCCAGGCCAGGUGUUAGUCUUAUAAUACAUUAGAAAUGAAACACAGACAUGGUAACUAAAAUGCAAAGUGAACCCUUAAUGGCUCAUUAUCCAGUCUUGGGGUAUAAUAAGUUGUGACCUGUAUUCUUCUUUGUGCUUCUGACCUGGCUGUUUAUUCAGAGCAGCUUAAAUUUACCAUUAAACUUUGUGCACAUAAUAUUAAAUUCUGGGAAGUUAGAAAAGAUUUAAAAUGAAUUCCAUGCAAAGAAAUAGAUGUCUGGACCAGUAUGUGGGUAGCUGGUCAAUUCCCUUUACAGUGGAACUUCUAGGAGGCCCUCCAAUGAACCAUAAACUAUGUAGUAUGAUGUAAGGAUCAAUAAUUGAAAUGGAUAUACAGAAAAAAUAUAUCUUGCCUCUCCAUCAUAUAUUGGCUCAAUUUGUCUGUACAAAAGCCAAAUGGGACUUUGGAGACUUAUAAUCAAUUUUAGGGAGGGUAGUCAUAUAUCCCAGUUUGGGACUGUCUUGUCUUACGCCUGUUUCCAUGUGACUUUAAAACAGCCAUGUUUUACUCGUAGAAGGACCCCUCUUUGGAGGACAAGCCAUACAGUUAUCACACAGUUACAGAAGACUUAAAGCAAAUUCCAAAUCUAAUUGCUUCCAUGGUAGGUGGAGAUUGAAAUGGGAAAUUUUUAUUAAUGGGAACGUCCUUGGGAAAAGAACUUAGGUUUAGCGAAUAAAUCUUGGUCUAUACACAUGAAAGAUAUGGCAGUGCACAACGGCAUUUGGGAGCAAUUUAUACAGUUGAUGUGGCUGUUAUGCUCUACAUUUCCUGGUGCAUGUAAGGAAAUUUUAAUAGCUGUAUGAAGAAGGCCAUCAAAGAUAAAGCAAGUGAUAGAAUUACUGUGUUAAUGUCCACGUCAGAGGAAAAGAUCAGGAUAUAAACAGAUUGUCUUUAUAAUGUAAAGAUGGUUAUUUCAAAGUAAAUAAGGAAAGAAAAAGUAAUACUUGGGAAGUAACUCCCUCUUGGAAGGAAAAGGACAGAUCAGGACAAGGCCAGGUUAAUUAGAUUACUACUUAGGCCAGGAAUUUAAACACAGUGUGGUGAAAUAUCUCUGCCUUAAUAUGUAAGUUGUAUAUAAUACCCACUAGGACUGAAUAGUCCAUCACACAAUAAUGGAAGGAAGCUUUCUUGGGCAACUAUAUCUGCUUUUCAGAAGCAAAACAUCCCUCAGAUGGAAUAGGCAUCGGAUCUUAUUCCUCUAGGUCCAGAAGAUGGUAGGCUGGCCUUUGGACUAUGGUUGCUUCUUUCAGUUUUAUUAGUAGCAAUAUUGAUAUUUUGGCCUCCUUUAUCCUCUGAGUUAGAUCUGAGUUUAAGAAGGGAAAAUGGGUGUAAUUAUUAUACCUUAUCAAAUUCUAAUAUUUUUUAAAUAUACUGGUCUCUAGAAUAUUUUCAUUUUAGCCACAAUGCCUAGUUUAGAUCCUGAAACACAAUAAUGUUUUCCAAUGUUUGUUGGAAAAACACAUGUAGAGUAAUACAUUUUAAUUUAACUAAAUUAUUUUAAUCCUUAUAAUAGCUUGGUAACUGAAGAAUGAAAAGACCUGUUUUAACAAAAGGACAAACUGUCGCUCAAGAAGUUAAAUGACUGAGAAUCAAACUGAUAUUUGUUCCCAAAUUUUAUCUAUCUUCCCUUUAAUGAAGGGAAAACUGGAUAAUUAUCUUGUUCAAUAACCUGGCAAUGGCAUAGUAACUGUAGAUAAACUUAACAGACAGGUGGAGGGGUGCUUUGGAAAGCCUUAAAUGCCAGAUUAAGAAGUUUGAAAUUAUGCUGCUAAAUUAUUGAGAGCUACUGAAAAAUUUUGUGGAGAAUCAUGUUAUUUUAGUUGUAGAGAUAUACAGUAAGUUAGAAGGUAGUAGAGGAAAACUUACAGACGAUUAGGGAGGCCUGUGCAUUAGGUUGUAGCAGCCUGAAUCAGGUUCGUCAUAAUAGAAGUGGAAAAUGACAGGAGUCUUAGAAUAUUUAAUUUUUAAUUAGGAAAUUUAAAGACUUAUCAAUGUAUUAUUAAUAUUAGUUUAGAUUUAAUUCUACUUCUGUUACCCAAAAAAGCCCAUCUAAGUAAUUAUACAGUCUCAGAUUAUUCAUAAUACCUAGCAGAUACCAAAAAGCGAUUCAUUACUCACAGUAAAUCUGUGAGUGAAACAAUGGAGUGAUGCUAUUUCUCAAAGGUAAACUAUGUUCUCCCAUUUUAUGUGAUUCCAAGGUGAUAGUUUAAUAGCAAUUUAAAAUUUAAAUUGUCAACCAUUAAUCUUCUAUCUCCUUGAGGUGCCACUUUGAUUUUGCUAUUCCUCUGCUGGAAAGCUUUCCAUGGUCCCUAUUAUUUUCCAGAAUCCAUAAUUUGUUUUAAUGGUGGCUUAACCACACUUUAAUCCUUAUCAAUUCUCCUAUAUAAAAUCUGUAUAAUUGAGAAAAAAGCAUAAAGAAUCAACAUAUCUUAAACUAGAUUCAAAUUUUAUAAUCCUAUUUUUGUAGCUUUGCUUAUAGGAUUUCCAUUUUCAGUCCCAGCUCUGGAAUGAAUCUGUUCAGGUUUAAAGCUGUGUUACCUUGGGCAAGUACCAUUACUUCCUGCACCUGUAUUUUGAUUUCUCCUCCUCCAUAUCCCCCACUCACUUUCAAAGAUGACGCAAAUAGAUGGAAAGAUAUACAAUACUCUUGGAUUAAAAGAAUCAAUGUCAAAAUGACUAAAGUACCCAAGGAAAUCUACAGAUAAUUCAAUCCCUAUUGAGCUACCAAUAAAAUUCUUCACAAAAUUAGAAUAAAACAUUUUACAAUUUGUAUAGAAACACAACAGACCUCAAAUAGCCAAAGCAAUUUUGAAAAAGAGAAACAGAACUGGAGGAAUCAGCCUCCCUGAUUCCAAUCUAUAUUACAAAGCUACAGUAAUCAAAACAGUAUGGUACUGGCACUAAAACAGAAAUACAGAGCAAUGGAACAGGGAAGAAAGAUGAGAUAUAAACACCCACACCUAUGGUCAACGUCUAUGACAAAGAAGGCAAGAACAUACAGUGGAGGAAAUAUAGUCUCUUCAAUAAGUGGUGCUGGGAAAACUGGACAGCUACAUGUAAAACAAUGAAAUUAGAACAUUCUUUAAACCAUACACAAAAAUAAAUUCAAAAUGGAAUAAGGACCUAAACUGCAAUAACAUCUAACUUGAUCCACCUGCUAGAAUAAUGAAAAUAAAGAAAUGGGACCUAUUGAACUUAAAAACUUUUGAACAGAAAAGGAAAUCAUAAAAAAAACCUAAAAAAUGAACCAUGGAGUGUGAGAAAAAUCUUUGCAAAU